rnacentral:rRNA from 1 species
AUGAAACUAGUUGGUUGGAACUGCCGGGGACUCGGGAACGGCCCGACAGUUCGUAGUCUCCUCGACUUGGGGAGGAUGGAGGAGCCCGACGUCCUUUUCUUAGCAGAGACGGAACUGUCAGAGAAGGAGCUAGAGAAGUUUCGGUGGAUGCUGGGUCUGGCACAUAUGGUGGUUUGGAACCCAGUAGGGCGGAGCAGAGGUGUGGCGCUUUUUUGGAGGAGGGGUUUGAAUGUUGCUUUGAGAUCUUUUGGAAGACGACACAUGGACGUGGAUGUCAUAGAGGAGGAUGGUAGAGUUUGGCGCAUGACGGGGAUUUAUGGAGAAUCAGAGGUGGAAAGGAAGGUCGAGACAUGGAGGAUGAUGCACUUACUGGGACAGCAGCAUCAACAUGGGCGACCACGGCUGUGUUUGGGAGACUUCAACGAGAUUCUUAUGUGGGAUGAGAAGAUCGGAGGUGCAGCAAGGGCUCAACGGCUCAUGGACAACUUCCGGGGGGCUCUUGAGGCCUGCGAGCUCAGUGAUCUAGACUAUGAGGGUGACAAGUUCACGUGGAGAAACCACAGCAAGGAGAUGGAUACGUAUAUUUGCGAAUGA